UCGAAAAAUCGAGUGGAAGUGUGUGUUUUGAUAAUUUUUGGGUGACCGAAAAAUCGCUGGCGAUCAGCGAUCGGUGGCACUGUCGGCACAGCCAUUGCCGCCAACUGAAUGUGGCAGGGAAAUUUGCAGCGGAAUGAAGAUUCAGAUACUUUGCAAUGAUUAAUGGGAUUUUGCAUUUUUGGGCCCUCAAUUUUUAUAUAAUCUUAUUGUGGCCGGAAAAUAUGAAAAAUCGAUCAUUUUUCCCCUUUAAAUUUUAAAUUUCUUUGGUUUGUUUAAUAUGAUUUUUGAACAGAUUAUUUAUGAAUUUUAGGAUGAAAUUUAAGGUUUAAUAUUUUUUGAUAAAUUUAUUAUUUUGAUUGGGUUUGGUAAAAUAAUUGGAGUUUUUGGCUUGAGGUUUGUUUGGUUGGAAUUUGAUAUAAAAAUCUGGCCUAUUUUGCUUGGGUUUUAGAAAUGGGUUGUUGGUUUAUUUUUUGAGUUUUUUUUUACUUGGGUUUAGGAGGUUAAAAUCCAACAUUUUGGGUUGGGAUUUUGGAUUGGGUUUUGAUUAAUUUGAUUGGGUUUAAUUAGUAAAUAAAAAGUGGGUUGGCUUGCUGGUUUUCCUUUGGACUUUACUUGGGCUGAGUUGAUUUUAGCCCGAAGAAAAAUAAAGAACGGCCCAAUGGCCCAUUUCCUUAAAUGAUCUGGUGACAAAUUUGCUGUUGAUCCCUGUACUUUUUAUUUAUUGUAUUGUGGCCCUAAUGACUUUUAUUACUUUCAAUUAUGUCCCUGUUGUAAUUGCAAAUAGGUCCUUUAAUUUUAUUUUUCUUUAAUUUGGACCCCAUAUCUUUGUGAUAAUUGAAUUGGAUCCCAAAACUUUGUUUAUUUUUGCAAUUAGAUCCUUAACAGAUUGGACUUCUUAAAUAGAAGUUGCUUUUCUUCUAUAAUCAUUGAUUACACUUCAUUUAAGUGUUUCAAUUGAUUGAUUUCAUUUUUAUUUCCAUUUGCUAUGAUUUAUUUGUUAUUUAAAUUGGUGCCUUGAUGAUUUUGUUAAUUUUGGAGGUAAAUAGGGCAAAUCCAAUUUCCCAUUAAUUACCACUUCAAGGGAGCUUGUUUUCUUCAACAUGUAUAUAAAAGGGGGAAUGCAAUGCCUCAAGAGGGUGCUUGUGUUGCUGACGCCGCAACAUGUGAUUGGUUGGAGAGUGUUCGUCCAAGCCUUUCUUAGGUUCCCAUUUCAUUUACUUUUUCAUUCUUUUUAAACGCAGAUGUGAUUGAUUGAAGAAGGUCACUUGCUCUCCCAUUUCUUUUCCUUGUUCAUCGCCAUUCUCCUCUCUCUCUAAGCCCAUCUCUCUGUUUUCUUCUUCAUUUUCCUAAAUGCCCCCAAAGCCCUUCUAUCUCUUUUCUUCUCCAUAACCGGCAACAUCAGGACCAAAACAGAUGGUGAAAAUUUUCGAAUCUUUUCCACCAUUCUUGUGAGACUGAGAUUUUUUCCCUUUUUUUUAAUUGGGUUCUAAAACACGUGGUUAGCUUUGCUCUUUUUUUCCCCUUUCUUUUGCCUUGUAUUCUUCCUUUUCUUGCCAUAUUUGUAUCUUGAUUUUGCUGUUGGCCAAAAAGCAUUAAAAAGGAUUUAAUAAAUUUGAGAAAGUUUCUUGGAACUUUUCCCGAUCUAAUGCCUUUAUAAGAAAUUGUAUCUUGAUUUUGCUCUUGCCCAAAAAAUAUUAAAAAGGAUUUACUAACAAAUUUUAUAAAGUUUUUUGGACCAACGUAGUAGUUCCAGAAACCCUAUCUCGACAUCAUCUCCUUCAAAUCCCAAAGGGUUGCCGUCUCUUCUCUCGCCGAUCCCUUCUCGCUCUCCAAAACAAGAAGUAUGGUUGGAAGAAUUAAAUCCAAAAACAAGGAAAUCUGAUUUUCUGUCCAUGCUUUCUUGGGAGACCGAGGCUGUCAAGAGAAGAUCAUUAUCAAGAAAAAUUGUAUGUGAUUUUGCUUCUUUCAGUUUCAUUCUUCUAGAUCUCAGUUUUUUCACUAUUUUUUUACACGCAUUUUUAAUAGUUCUCCUGUUACUUAUUUGUCCUUUUUUCCCUGCCCUUCUAUAGCACCUGUACAAACUUAUGUGAUUUUCUAUUAUGUAUGGGAAAAUUGCUUGGUGUAUUUUUUGGUUGUUUUGGAUUCAUGGGUUGUUCAAAGCACAAUGUCUUUGGCUAAAAACUUGGGGUAAUGCUUUGUUUUGUAUCAGUCAGUCUAAGCCCAAGCUUUGGGCUUUUAGCAUAGUUCAGCUUUGGACAGUUAUGUAGGAAGCAGAAUCGGCCAUCCUUGAAGCAUUAUCGAGAUCAAAGCCUGGAAGCGUAUGACCCUGGAUACUAGAUUUUUGCACUAACAGUAGCUAUGCGAUCUCUGUAUUACCUACUAUAAAUGUAUAUCAGCUCUUGAUGCUUUAUAUCUCACGUGGAUGGUGUUAUCAUGAUAUUUUUGUUUGGAUUGAAAUCUUGUACAACUUGGUCAGUUAUUUUGUACUAAGAGUUUCCAUUCCUUUUGCUACUGAUGUAUUCAGAGGAUAGAAUUGUGGCCUAUAUUAAUAAUCCUCCUCC